AGUUAAUGAACUUGUUAAAGUAUAUAUUUUGAAAAUAUAAAAAAGGAAUAAUUAUCUUCCUAUUAACUU
rnacentral:tRNA from 1 species